GCUACGGCUUGGUCACUGUUACCAGGCAACAGCGGAAGUGGUAGGAGGCUACGUCAUAGUAGCCUCCCACGUGACCGGAGUUCAGGGGAGCCGCGGCUUCCGGCCUCGGGACGCCGGCGAGCGCGAACGGACGAGGAUGAUCUCACUCACAUCCAGAUUUUUAGCAAAACAUGUCCAUAUUGUUUAAUCUACUUAUGACAAUUAUAAACAUUGCAAGAUUGUAAAAACUUUAAGUUGCUGACUUGCAUCCAUAAACUGCCUGCAGCCAUGUAUGCUGCAGUAGACCUUUUUGGCUAGAUGCACCAUCGCUUGGAAAGUGAGAACAUGGAGAGUGAUAAACUACCAGUGGUAGCGGAGCAAGGCAAGUUGCCUGAAGUGUGGCAAGUGAAGCAGUAUACU